UACGUAGGGUGCAAGCGUUAAUCGGAAUUACUGGGCGUAAAGCGUGCGCAGGCGGUUAUGCAAGACAGAUGUGAAAUCCCCGGGCUUAACCUGGGAACCGCAUUUGUGACUGCAUAGCUGGAGUACGGCAGAGGGGGAUGGAAUUCCGCGUGUAGCAGUGAAAUGCGUAGAUAUGCGGAGGAACACCGAUGGCGAAGGGCAAUCCCCCUGGGCCUGCACUGACGCUCAUGCACGAAAGCGUGGGGAGCAAACAGG
rnacentral:rRNA from 1 species